AGAUCGAAUAUUUCUUCACCGCAGAAAGUUGGUGCCGCUUGGCGGCUUAAUAUCCGGCCGAGGUGGAGACAUUCACAAGCCAGAGAAAUCUGUCUAUUUGAAUUGAAUGUCUUUACCGGAGCACUAUACGGUAAAGACUUUUUUAUUCUGAGA
rfam:Leptolinea tardivitalis strain YMTK-2 contig_13, whole genome shotgun sequence.